GUGAGUCAUCGAAUCUUUGAACGCACAUUGCGCCCUCUGGUAUUCCGGGGGGCAUGCCUGUUCGAGCGUCAUUACAACCCUCAAGCUCUGCUUGGUCCUGGGCGUCGCCACCUCUGGCGCGCCUCAAAAUCAGUGGCGGUGCCACCCGGCUUCAAGCGUAGUACUGAUCUCGCUUCCGGAGUCGUGGUGUUGCAGCUGCCAACAAUCCCACACUUCUCAAAAGGUUGACCUCGGAUCAGGUAGGGAUACCCGCUGAACUUAAGCAUAUCAAUAAGCGGAGGA
rnacentral:misc_RNA from 1 species